AAGUCGUAACAAGGUUUCCGUAGGUGAACCUGCGGAAGGAUCAUUAACACGUAUCCAACGUAAAAAACCCCCCUGUGAACAUUCAAACCUGCUCUCGUAGCCCAGUGCGAUCCAGCAAUCCCGGUAAAUCAGGGACUUCUGACAAAUGAGAAGUUACAGUUACGAUUGAGCGGAGAUAGCUGCAUGGCAUCCCGAAGCAGUCAGUGUCUGAAAGUGUCAUUGAUUGUCUAAGGAUCUCGCCUCAACGAUUGCCAGAGGUCGCUCACCGACCGGCAGACAUGCAACCGGGUCCCCACGCCCCUUUACAACCCCAUUACCUCUGUGAGUCGCGGGAAACUAGCGGCUAAAAAACCUCGAACAACUGUUAACAAUGGAUAUCUUGGUUCUC
rnacentral:misc_RNA from 1 species